AAGAAAUGAAAAUGUUUAGUUGAAGUAAACCCUCCAGAUGGUUUAGAGUAUAUAGUAUAUACAUGUGUCUACAUACCUUGGAGCAAAUAUUCUCACGGAGUCUCCAGGGUUCACUGCUUUAUUUCCGAAACCCCAGUUCAAGGUAUAACAAAGUGAUGAUCAAAGUGAAAGUGAACGUGAAUAAGUGAAAGUGAUCUAUUUACCUGUAAUAUAUAAGUAUUGAGCUAAGUUUGUGUUCUUGUUAAAAUGAAACCUGAAUCUAACGUCCUUAACAUUAAUCAUCAGAAUAAACACACUAGGCUUUCCCGAUCCUCAGCUAGAGAUUUUGAAACUCAUUCUCGAAACAAUUUCGAAACAUUUCGGACCCUCACACCAAUAUUUGAGGAUAAGAAGCCAGCUAGCAGGAGAAGGGAGAGUUGGGAGAACGGGGACAGGAGAAGAUCUAGAACUAAGAGUUACGAGAGAACUAGAGAACCUCGUGUUCUAGCUCCGAGACGGAGUAGAACACAAGAACGGGUUUCAGAACCCACCAGGGAUAUUCAGUAUAACAGGGCUAAAACUAUUCACGU